UUCGUAGGCGGACUUUCAAGUCAGAAGUGAAAUUUUGGGGCUUAACCCCGAAACUGCUUUUGAAACUGAUUGUCUUGAGUAUGUGAGAGGAAGAUGGAAUUCCUGGUGUAGCGGUGGAAUGCGUAGAUAUCAGGAAGAACACCGGUGGCGAAGGCGGUCUUCUGGCACAAUACUGACGCUGAGGAACGAAAGCGUGGGGAGCAAACA
rnacentral:rRNA from 1 species